AGUGAAGGAGUCUUUCCAACCGGCACCAGGGCGAGCUACGCACCCGGUGAGAAGUGAGCCCCGACUGGCCCCACCCCGCGCUCCAGCCGGCCUGGAAGAGUGCGCCCCUCCCGGGUCCGCCCCGGGGGCUCACGCACUGUUACUCUCGGGACGCUUUCCUCUUUCUCCAGCAGCGUGUCUGAACACCUGUUGGUGGCUCAUUUGAAAAGACCAAAAGAAACGUCCCCGGAGCCAGGGGGUGGGGGUUGGAGGAGGAAGCUUAGCUGGGGAACGCCCGGGUAGGGGAGGGCGCCUUUGAUUCUGCAACCCGGAGCCUGGAGUGGGGGGUGGGGUGAGGGCCGGGGUGUUGCACGGGGAGCGGGGAAAGAGCCAGCGUUUUUUGCACAAGCGGGCAUUCCCCGUUGGGAGCGUUUCCGCGAUCGACUGGAAUGCUGGGGUUCAGGUUGGAGCAUAAGUGUGGCCUGCAGCCCCUCAUCAUGGCUUCUCCACAAAGGUACCUUGAUCAAGUUCCUGAGAGGAUCCGAGACUUGGUUUCUAGACUAA
rnacentral:lncRNA from 1 species